AAACCAGACCGAUAGGAUUGGUUUGGUCGUGGAAAAUACCAAACCAACCCAAGAUAGCCCAACAUGAAGAAACCUCGUUGAAUAUGAUCAUGUCAUUUUUCUGUUAGCCGCCGUUAGCUGGAUGAUCUGUUAGGUCUGGUUUCUGGGCCUGUUUUGUCGGUUUAGUCUGAUUUCCUUUGUUUCUUUAAGGCUCUUUUGUUUUGGCUCUUCUGUUGAGCUUUGCCCUUUGUAUUUUUCUGUAGGGCUUUGCCUUUUGUAUCUUUCUUCGGUUAAUAUAUUCUUCACUCCUCUGUGUUUUUCUUA